rnacentral:rRNA from 1 species
UACAGAGGGUGCAAGCGUUGUUCGGAAUUAUUGGGCGUAAAGCGCGUGUAGGCGGCUUGGCAAGUCGGGUGUGAAAUCCCUCAGCUUAACUGAGGAAGUGCGCCCGAAACUGCCGAGCUUGAGUACCGGAGAGGGUGGCGGAAUUCCCCAAGUAGAGGUGAAAUUCGUAGAUAUGGGGAGGAACACCGGUGGCGUAGGCGGCCACCUGGACGGAUACUGACGCUGAGACGCGAAAGCGUGGGGAGCAAACAGG